rnacentral:siRNA from 1 species
AGCCAUCCUCAUCAAGUUCACUCG